rnacentral:rRNA from 1 species
UACGGAGGGAGCUAGCGUUGUUCGGAAUUACUGGGCGUAAAGCGCACGUAGGCGGCUUUGUAAGUUAGAGGUGAAAGCCCGGGGCUCAACCCCGGAAUUGCCUUUAAGACUGCAUCGCUUGAAUCCGGGAGAGGUGAGUGGAAUUCCGAGUGUAGAGGUGAAAUUCGUAGAUAUUCGGAAGAACACCAGUGGCGAAGGCGGCUCACUGGACCAUAACUGACGCUGAUGCGCGAAAGCUAGGGGAGCAAACAGG